rnacentral:rRNA from 1 species
GACGAACCACACAAACGUUAUUCGGAAUUACUGGGCUUAAAGGGUGCGUAGGCGGCCUGGCAAGUUGGGUGUGAAAUACCUCGGCUUAACCGAGGAAUGGCGCUCAAAACUGCCGGGCUUGAGGGAGAUAGAGGUGAGCGGAACUUAAGGUGGAGCGGUGAAAUGCGUUGAUAUCUUAAGGAACACCCGUGGCGAAAGCGGCUCACUGGAUCUCUUCUGACGCUCAGGCACGAAAGCCAGGGGAGCGAACGGG